AACGAACGCUGGCGGCAGGCUUAACACAUGCAAGUCGAACGGUGAAGGAGGGCUUGCCCUCCGAAUCAGUGGCGAACGGGUGAGUAACACGUGGGCAACCUGCCCCUCACUCUGGGAUAACGCCGGGAAACCGGCGCUAAUACCGGAUACGACCAGGCGCGACAUCUCGCCUGGUGGAAAGAAUUUCGGUGAGGGAUGGGCCCGCGGCCUAUCAGCUAGUUGGUGGGGUAACGGCCCACCAAGGCGACGACGGGUAGCCGGCCUGAGAGGGCGACCGGCCACACUGGGACUGAGACACGGCCCAGACUCCUACGGGAGGCAGCAGUGGGGAAUAUUGCGCAAUGGGCGAAAGCCUGACGCAGCGACGCAGCGUGAGGGACGAAGGCCUUCGGGUUGUAAACCUCUUUCAGCGGGGACGAAGCGAAAGUGACGGUACCCGCAGAAGAAGCACCGGCUAACUACGUGCCAGCAGCCGCCGUAACAC
rnacentral:rRNA from 1 species